rnacentral:rRNA from 1 species
CCUACGGGUGGCUGCAGUGGGGAAUAUUGGACAAUGGGGGCAACCCUGAUCCAGCCAUGCCGCGUGUGUGAAGAGGCCCUCGGGUUGUAAAGCACUUUCAGUGAGGAAGAACGCCUGGUGGUUAAUACCCAUCAGGAAAGACAUCACUCACAGAAGAAGCACCGGCUAACUCCGUGCCAGCAGCCGCGGUAAUACGGAGGGUGCGAGCGUUAAUCGGAAUUACUGGGCGUAAAGCGCGCGUAGGUGGCUUGAUAAGCCGGUUGUGAAAGCCCCGGGCUCAACCUGGGAACGGCAUCCGGAACUGUCAAGCUAGGGUGCAGGAGAGGAAGGUAGAAUUCCCGGUGUAGCGGUGAAAUGCGUAGAGAUCGGGAGGAAUACCAGUGGCGAAGGCGGCCUUCUGGACUGACACUGACACUGAGGUGCGAAAGCGUGGGUAGCAAACAGGAUUAGAUACCCCAGUAGUC